rnacentral:lncRNA from 1 species
CUUUAAUGAAAAACAAAAUUCCAAAUGUAAGAGUCACCAGUAUUUCCAUGAGAUUCUCUCUCUGUUGAAAAAAAAAUCUAAGGAAGAGAGUCUCCUGCAUUCCUGAAGGAUUACGUGUGGUCUUCCUAAUUCAAGAAAGAUGAAAGAGUGGCAGCUGAAUGUCUGAAAAGGGCAGAAUGGAUUUUUGUCAGAGGCAACACAUCCUAUUCUUUAUAUGGCCAUUUAUUUUGUAGUGAUAUUUCAUCUUAUUGUAGGUUCUUCAUUAAUGGAAAUGUUGAUUCAGGUUUUAUCUCCACAACGUUUUCAGGACCGUAAGAUCUGGUGUACAAUGGCCACAAGGGGACUCCUGGGCAAAAGAUCUCACUUGUGUACAUUUUACCACCUGAACUCCAUGGCCAAAUGACAGGGGAUAUUCUAGCAGACUAUGGGAAGAUAAAUCACCCCAUUUGUGUACCUUGAAGAUAAUAUCUUCAUGAUGUCCACAUGUCCACAACAGGAGGGUGAAAUCAGAUCAGGAGCAAAAGAUCAAUUAUAGAAAGGUGAGUGUGGAGGACAGUAAUGAGAGAGAGCAUGUGGAGACACUGAUAGAACGGUAAAAUAAAGGGGAGACUGAAUUUAGCA